UGAAUACGAGAUGCUACGGCGUCGAAGCAGUCUAUGUCAUACUUCCAAGAAAAGCUUGCACUGUCAUAAACAAAUAAUGCCUGUACCAUAACCGACACAGGUGGGUAGGUAGAGUAUACUAAGGGGCGCGAGAUAACUCUCUCUAAGGAACUCGGCAAAAUAACUCCGUAACUUCGGGAGAAGGAGUGCCUUAUUUAUAAGGUUGCAAUGACAAGAUCCAAGCAACUGUUUACCAAAAACACAGGUCUCCGCGAAGUCGUAAGACGAUGUAUGGGGGCUGACGCCUGCCCAGUGCCAGAAGGUUAAAGAAGUUGGUUAGCAUUCGCGAAGCUGAUAACUGAAGCCCUGGUGAACGGCGGCCGUAACAAUAACGGUCCUAAGGUAGCGAAAUUCCUUGUCGGGUAAGUUCCGACCCGCACGAAAGGCGUAAUGAUUUGGAUACUAUCUCGGAGAGGGGCUCGGUGAAAUAGACUUGUCUGUGAAGAUGCGGACUACCUGCACCUGGACAGAAAGACCCUAUCAAGCUUUACUGUAACUUGAAAUUGAAAUUGGACUUUAUUUGCGCAGUAUAGGUGGGAGGCAUUGAAAAUAUUCUUGCGGGAUUAUUGGAGCCAUCAGUGAGAUACCACUCUUGUAAUGUUAGAUUUCUAACUUUGUAUCAUUAUCUGGUCAAAGAACAGUUUCAGGCGGGCAGUUUGACUGGGGCGGUCGCCUCCCAAACGGUAACGGAGGCGCACAAAGGUUUCCUCUGAACGGGUAGAAAUCGUAUCUAGAGUGUAAAGGCAUAAGGAAGCUUGACUGUGAGACCUACAAGUCGAGCAGGGACGAAAGUCGGUCUUAGUGAUCUGACGGUGCUGAGUGGAAAGGCCGUCACUCAACGGAUAAAAGUUACUCUAAGGAUAACAGGCUGAUCUCCCCCAAGAGUUCACAUCGACGGGGAGGUUUGGCACCUCGAUGUCGGCUCAUCGCAUCCUGGGGCGGUAGUACGUCCCAAGGGUUGGGCUGUUCGCCCAUGAAAGCGGUACGCGAGCUGGGUUCAGAACGUCGUGAGACAGUUCGGUCCAUAUCCGGUGUAGGCGUUAGAAUAUUGAGAGGAGCCUUCUCUAGUACGAGAGGACCGAGAAGGACAUACCUCUGGUGUACCAGUUAUCGUGCCAACGGUAAACGCUGGGUAGCUAUGUAUGGAGAGGAUAACCGCUGAAAGCAUCUAAGUGGGAAGCCCACCUCAAGAUAAGUAUUCUCAUCACGUAAGUGAAUAAGGUCACGGUAAGACUAACCGUUCGAUAGGCAUUAAGUGUAAAUCUAGUAAUAGGUGAGCUGAGAUGUACUAACAGACCGAAGAC
rnacentral:rRNA from 1 species